rnacentral:rRNA from 1 species
AUUGAAUUUUAUAACAAUGGCUUUAGUGGCGGACUGGUGAGUAACGCGUAAGGAACCUACCUAUUAGAGGGGAACAACAGUUAGAAAUGACUGCUAAUACCGCAUAUGCCUAAGUACCACAUGGUACAAUAGGGAAAGAAGCAAUUCGCUGAUAGAUGGGCUUGCGUCUGAUUAGAUAGUUGGUGGGGCAACGGCCUACCAAGUCGACGAUCAGUAGCCGGACUGAGAGGUUGAACGGCCACAUUGGGACUGAGAUACGGCCCAGACUCC